CCGUCCGAGAAGGUGCCUCUCCCCACGAUCCCAUCGGAAGCCCACGCACGCACGUACUCUUGCACCCUCGUGCCUCUUCCUAGGAUGCACCCCCAAUCUCCUCACCCCUCCCAUUCUCCUUUCCAUGUUGCCGCGGCUGGUCUCCUCUACCACUCCCGUUUUGCACCCCAUGUCGCCGGAACGACCACCACAUCACGGGCGCCGCCCUUCUCCCCUGGUGGCAACACAACAACUGCUCCGCGGGCCGUUGCGGCACCGGCGGCUUAUGCUGGUUCUGGGUACGGGCGUCGCCGCCUUCGCCGGUGUUCUGCCAACGACUAUCCGGCGCGCCGGCGUUGUCCCCUCUGCGUGCGCCGAUCUGAACGAAAGGCGACACAUCGGGGAAGCGGCGGCUUUCACUUCCGCUGACAAAACCUUAUCGGCUGAGGGGCGACGGCUCAACAACGGCACGAUCUCUUUCGACCAGCGGUAGGAUGAUGAAAUCUCUCCCGCUCAUGCUUCUAAGAUUGAUCUGGUUUACUUUCACGGGUGUUUUUGUUUUGCAGGAGAGGCUGAGACAAAAGGCAGCUGGAGUUAGUGCGCGUGUCCUGGGAACGUCAGGAUCCACCUCCCGUUUGAGAUGGCGCUCUAGAUAGGCAUCCUAUGCCACAUCUCGGCAGUCAAGGAUCACUGAGAUGGACAUUGUUAGGAAUCCUCGAGGGCACCAACAAAACAAGCAAACACUAAUAUCAAAUUUGAUAAUGAGAGGAUUAGCUAGAUAUCAAGAUGGAAGUAGAACAAAUGAAUCGAGGCACUACUAUCUCUGUCUUGAGACCUGCAAGCCCAUGCAGCCUGGUGUCCAUGACGCGGCUGCACCCUCUUGUGGGCGUCUGACAUCCGCUUCGGCCCCUCCGGCUGCGCAGCUUGCCACUGUGUUUCUUAGAGUUCUGACUGCCGUUGCUUCUCAUGGGGUCAAAAUGAGAAGGGGCAGCUGGGGUAUGGCCGCAUGUCAACUCUCUUGCGUAACCUGCCAACUGUAGUUUCAGAAAUAUCAAAGUAGGAGAAUCGUCUGCAUUUCCCUUCAUUUUAAUUUUGUAAACAAUUGUGUAUGGUAUUGCUGAAUCCAUGAAUACAUAGCAUCCAACAUACUUGAACUGAAUAGUCCAACAACAUUUACAUGUUUCUAAAUGUGAAUUAGCAGUUGUCAAUUCUGCAGAUACACCAUAAUUACAGCAGGUCCUGGAAUAAAUCAUACGAUCAAAUCCUCUACAUGAAGUCUUGGCUAAGAAAAAAAUGUCCAUAGAUGAUACUGUUGUGAUGGUAAGUUUUGAUGUAUGAUGGUGUUUCAUGCAACUUUUUCCUUCUUUUUCCUGGGUUGAGUGAACAAUAUUGUUAAAGUGAUGGUCCAAAUGCGUGCUAGAAUAUUUACUUCUCAUAAGUUUCGUGAACAUACAAUUUACUACGUGAAUUAUUUGAUCUACCAUGCAAGAUAGACACCAUGACUAUCAGACUGUGUGUCUCAAUAGCAAGAGUAUCCGCCAAGUAAGCAUCUUUAUUUCACCCAGCUCCCAGUGUUGAAGUUAAAUUUUUUGUUUCAACCACGACUUGUAUGGCCCUUAUUUGUUGUCAACAUAUUGUGCAGAAGUGCACUCUUAUAAGCUGUGUUAUGGUUGAUGUUCAUGCUUACUUCAGGUCAUAAAAGGUCGUGGGAAUGACUCUACACUUUGGGAAACCCUAUUCUUUUUUAUCAUCAAUCUAUGAAUCAAAUGGUUGGACAUUGUGGAUUUAGAUUGUUUUCUUUGCUUUCUCGUCACUAGGUUAUGAUGGAGGUUAAAUAGAUCUGGAGGCAGAUGGAGGUGAAGCCCGUGGUGUCUUCUAUGCAACCACUCCCAUUGCCAAUGUAGGAGUAGACAAGGCGAAGCUGACAAAGCGCACGAAGUGCGACACGUGUUGUAGAAAAUGUUGGAAUCGUUAGGAGCAGUAGCAGCAGGGGGAACCAAAUUUACUACAGAUCAGCAAAUGCGGGGACUUACUUCUGUGUUGUACUGCGCGCCUGCACCGGCAUACACUUACUUCAUGUUAUUCUGAGAUUGUUCUCUGGUACAACUAUU